rnacentral:rRNA from 1 species
AUUCCAGCUCCAAUAGCGUAUAUUAAAGUUGUUGCAGUUAAAAAGCUCGUAGUUGGAUUUCUGAUAGGGAGCCGAUCACCACUGUUGUGAGUGUUAGGUACCUGUCAUCCUUCUGUUAACCCCUGCGGCAUUCAUUUGUCGUUGGGCGGACCAGAUACUUUACCUUGAGAAAAUUAGAGUGUUUCAGGCAGGCCUAGCCGGAAUACAUUAGCAUGGAAUAAUGGAAUAGGACUAUAGUCUCGUCGUUGGUUACGUGGACUGCAGUAAUGAUUAAUAGGGAUAGUUGGGGGCAUUAGUAUUUAUUAGCUAGAGGUGGAAUUCUCUAAUUUGAUAAAGACUAACUUAUGCGAAAGCAUUUGCCAAGGAUGUUUUCAUUA